rnacentral:tRNA from 1 species
GCUGGGAUGGCCGAGUCGUUAAGGCGAGUGAUUUGAACAGAUUCAAACAUAUCACUUGGUGUUUCACCGCGUAGGUUCAAAUCCUGCUCCCAGCG